UUGAGCAGUAUGCAGUGAAAGUUGCACGUACGGUUCUUUGAGGGACGGCAUUUGGCAACAAACGUCGUCUACUCGAC
rnacentral:ncRNA from 1 species